ACCAAGUGACAGUUUGAAACAAGUGACAGUUGGUCAAGGCAAGUCCUGAGGCAUGUCUCCCCAGAGACAGAGGCCGACCUUGAGGCUCAGACUGACACCAACGAGAGCAUCAUAAAGGAGCCAGGAGCAGACAGGCAGCCACAGCGAAGUGCACACGUCUGAGUAUUAUGAUGUCUGUCACACAAAGGAACCUAGGAGCUGGCAGCCGCAGACUUGGUGAUUCCCUUCACCAAAAUGCCUUUAUCGUGGGGUGUUUAUAAACCUAUUAUGGUUUGAAUAAGUUGGACUUCUCAGUAAUAAAGAGGAGACUGAUGGACGAUACACCUCCGGUGGGACGUUUGAAGCCACGCACCCGCAACUUCCGGGUGUAGCGGAUCGCGGAGGAUGGGGAUGACGCACUUCCGGUCGCGGCCCGAAUGACGGAUUUCCGGCCGCGGCUAUAAUGACGACUUCCGGCCGGCGCAACUCAGCGGCCAGAGGAGAUGGACUUUCCCCUUUUGGCGGGAAUAUGUGGCUCACUGUGAAAUUUGGACUGGACUAUAAACGGAAUGAACUGUUAGUAUUAGGAUAAGAAUCUUAGAGGAUAGUAGUUCCAUGUCUGGAAAUAGGCUUACCCUCUAGAAAAUUAUGAUGGGUAUAUAUAGAUUAGAAUGUCAGUACCUCCUUAUGCCUUGAGGAAGACACUGCUUGUGUCGAAACGCGUUGGAAAGAGGACUCUUUUAUUGUGAGGGAGACGGUUGGGACAUCAUCUGUGGAGUGGAACAGCCAGUUCCGGGGACGCCCGAAUGUGAACACCUUUUAAAACCUGCUGUUUUUGUCUACUUCGUAGACCACUUCAUAUGGUGAGAGACCACCCUUAUCCCUGUUUUAUAUGUUUAGCACAGCAAAUAAAAGAUAUUGCACCAUU